UAAAACGUAGGAGGCGAGCGUUAUCCGGAUUUACUGGGCGUAAAGGGCUCGCAGGCGGCUUAGUAAGUUAGACGUGAAAGCUCCUGGCUUAACUGGGAGAGGUCGUUUGAAACUGCUAGGCUUGAGGAUGGGAGAGGGGUGUAGAAUUCCCGGUGUAGUGGUGGAAUGCGUAGAUAUCGGGAGGAACACCAGUGGCGGAGGCGGCACCCUGGCCCACACCUGACGCUGAGGAGCGAAAGCGUGGGUAGCGAACAGG
rnacentral:rRNA from 1 species